rnacentral:rRNA from 1 species
CUUGGUCAUUUAGAGGAAGUAAAAGUCGUAACAAGGUUUCCGUAGGUGAACCUGCGGAAGGAUCAUUACUGUGAUUUACUACUACACUGCGUGAGCGGAACGAAAACAACAACACCUAAAAUGUGGAAUAUAGCAUAUAGUCGACAAGAGAAAUCUACGAAAAACAAACAAAACUUUCAACAACGGAUCUCUUGGUUCUCGCAUCGAUGAAGAGCGCAGCGAAAUGCGAUACCUAGUGUGAAUUGCAGCCAUCGUGAAUCAUCGAGUUCUUGAACGCACAUUGCGCCCCUCGGCAUUCCGGGGGGCAUGCCUGUUUGAGCGUCGUUUCCAUCUUGCGCGUGCGCAGAGUUGGGGGAGCGGAGCGGACGACGUGUAAAGAGCGUCGGAGCUGCGACUCGCCUGAAAGGGAGCGAAGCUGGCCGAGCGAACUAGACUUUUUUCAGGGACGCUUGGCGGCCGAGAGCGAGUGUUGCGAGACAACAAAAAGCUCGACCUCAAAUCAGGUAGGAAUACCCGCUGAACUUAAGCAUAUCAAUAAGCGGAGGAA